GAUUCCAGGGACUGCACCUUGAACUGUUCAUAUAUCUGUGCAACUCUUUUAAGUUCAGAAGGCAACUUUAAUGAUUGAUGUGCAUGUUUGGAGAGAAAAACCCCUGCAACUCUCUGUAUGUCCCAGCCAGGCAUGGCUGAUGGGGACAUGCUGGUAGUUCUAGAAUUUCUGAUAAUUUCCUCUUACAGAAAGUAGAAAAACAAUUAGAGGAUCUGCCAUCAUUGACUUGAUUCCAAUCAACAGGGAUGACCUAGGGGAUAAUCUGUCAGUUAUGGAAAUUCUGGGGGAAAGUGACCAUGUGAUACUUGAAUUCUUGAUUCUAAAGGUAGCAAAAGCUGAAUGUAGCCAAAUGCAUAUUCUGGAUUUAAUGGAAGCCAGUUUCAAUAAUUUCAUCACAAUGAAAAGCAAGGUUAUACUGUAAGUGUCUUGAAAGAGAAAGGGAGUCCAAAAUGGGUGGGGAUGUUUGAAAAAGGAAAUUCUAGAGGUGCGAUGAAUUACAAACCAUUCCAACAAGAAAAAAGUUACCAAAAACAAAACACAACACAGAAGCUUCACAUAACACUUAAAAUUAUCUGCAAACAAAGAAGGGACUUGCAUAGAAAGUAAAGGAAGGUCAGGCUACAAAGGAAAAUUAUAGGCAGGAGGCACAGAACUGCACCAAUGGCGUCAGGAAGGCUAGUGAGGGAUGGUAAAAGCAACAAAUAGCCUUUUUCAGAUAGUGGAAGACAGAGGAAAGAAAUGGUGGUUCAGCUACUCAGUGUGGAUGGCAAAAUGAUAACAGAGAAGUGCUCAAUUCCUCAUUUAGCAGAGUCUUCUCCAAAAAGCAGGUCUAUGAAUCCCCAGCAGAAAUUAAGUACAAACUGAAGGGGCAGGAUUGAAGCUUCAGAUAAAUAAAUGGUCUUUAAAUGAGUUCAGAUCUUUCUUUGAAUGAGUUAAGAUAUCCAGAGCCUGAUGAACUGCAUCCUAGAGUAAUUAUGGCAGAAGAACUGUCAGAACUACUCUAUUAUUUUUGAGAAAUCAUGGAGGAUGGGAGAAGGGCCAGAUGGUUGAAGAAGGGUAACCUUGUCCCUGUCUUCAAAAAGGGGGAAAGGAAGUACCUGAGAACUACAGACCAGUUAAUCUGACAUCAAUUUCUGGAAAAAUUUUGGAGAAAAUUAUAAAAAAAAUUCACCUGCAAGC